rnacentral:rRNA from 1 species
AACGAACGCUGGCGGCAUGCUUAACACAUGCAAGUCGAACGAGACCUUCGGGUCUAGUGGCGCACGGGUGCGUAACGCGUGGGAAUCUGCCCUUUGCUACGGAAUAACUCAGAGAAAUUUGUGCUAAUACCGUAUAAUGUCGAAAGACCAAAGAUUUAUCGGCAAAGGACGAGCCCGCGUAGGAUUAGCUAGUUGGUGAGGUAAAGGCUCACCAAGGCGACGAUCCUUAGCUGGUCUGAGAGGAUGAUCAGCCACACUGGGACUGAGACACGGCACAGAGUCCUACGGGAGGCAGCAGUGGGGAAUAUUGGACAAUGGGCGAAAGCCUGAUCCAGCAAUGCCGCGUGAGUGAUGAAGGCCUUAGGGUUGUAAAGCUCUUUUACCAGGGAUGAUAAUGACAGUACCUGGAGAAUAAGCUCCGGCUAACUCCGUGUCAGCCGCCGCGGUAAAAC